GGCCAGAAAGUCUUGUAGAUGUGCAGAUUUCCCUCUUUCCAUUGACUGGUCAUCAUGGAAUCUAAGGACAGAGUCAGCAGGCUAGACCUCCAUCUGACACCAUCACCUCCGGAAAGAAGAAAGCAAGGCCAGGAUGAGAAGAAGGGCCAGAAUGGAAAAUGAUCAUACUUUGAUCAUGUUAUUCAUGGAAUUUCUACUAUUUCCUGCCUAAAAUAAUUGAAAGAUUUGAAGGCAGAUGGCUUGUCCUUGAAUUCUGACUUUGUUUUAAUCAAGGUUACCAUCAUUCAAGUAGCAAUCUCUUUCCUUGAAGAGGUGCCUUACUGCACUUAAUCCUGUUUUCUCUACCCCAGUCCCUGCGAAGCCCCUUAAUCCAUUUAUAGUAGAAUACGUAUUGAAUUCAAUAAUAUCAUGCCUCCCUUAAUUAAUGUUAUUGAUUUGUAUUUGGU